ensembl:lncRNA
AUGCCAAACACGAGCUGGAUCCUGCUAGGGGAACAAUACUCUGCUGAACUCUGAGUGCUUUUCUUCAUUUGAGCUGAAUCAUGUACAACAUCAAUGUGACGUGUGGAGAGAUUGAGACUGAAUACAGACUUCAUGCUGAUUUACUGAACUACACCAAUAAUCCUGACUGUGAUCAGAGCUGGUAUUCACAGGGCAAGCGUCUGUUAGCAGAUCCAUCAGAUCCUCAAACACUGUUUGAUCCUGCUAUUUCUGUCUCGUCUGACCAUCUCUUCACUUCUCACUGUGUGGAUAAAAUUCAUCAUGAGAUCAUCUGUCAUUCUGCUGAAUGUUUAAUGGCACCGACUCCAUUAGCAGACCAAGACAAACUCCAGAAUCACGUGAGUGGAUUUCUGCCCCGAUCUUCAUUGUUCUUCUGGUUUUGA